rnacentral:rRNA from 1 species
GGAUUCCCCUAGUAACUGCGAGUGAAGCGGGAAAAGCUCAAAUUUAAAAUCUGGCAGCCUCUGGUUGUCCGAGUUGUAGUCUGGAGAAGUGCUUUCCGCGCUGGACCGUGUAUAAGUCUCUUGGAAUAGAGCGUCAUAGAGGGUGAGAAUCCCGUCUUUGACACGGACUACCAGUGCUUUGUGAUGCGCUUUCAAAGAGUCGAGUUGUUUGGGAAUGCAGCUCAAAAUGGGUGGUAAAUUCCAUCUAAAGCUAAAUAUUGGCGAGAGACCGAUAGCGAACAAGUACCGUGAGGGAAAGAUGAAAAGCACUUUGGAAAGAGAGUUAAACAGUACGUGAAAUUGCUGAAAGGGAAACGCUUGAAGUCAGUCGCGUCGUUUGGAACUCAGCCUUGCUUUUGCUUGGUGCACUUUCUGAAUGACGGGCCAGCAUCAAUUUUGACCGUUGGAGAAGGGUGGGAGGAAUGUGGCACUCUUCGGGGUGUGUUAUAGCCUCUUACCGCAUGCAACGGUUGGGAUUGAGGACCGCAGCGCGCCGCAAGGCAGGGGAAUGUUUCCCACUUUCGCGCUUAGGAUGCUGGCAUAAUGGCUUUAAGCGACCCGUCUUGAAACACGGACCAAGGAGUCUAACAUGCCUGCGAGUGUUUGGGUGGAAAACCCGAGCGCGUAAUGAAAGUGAAAG